rnacentral:rRNA from 1 species
CUACGGGGGGCUGCAGUUAGGAAUAUUCUGCAAUGCGCGAAAGCGUGACAGAUUGAGUCAGAGUGUUUUUCAUACGAAAAGCCUUUGCCAAAUGUAAAAAGUUUGGCGAAUAAGGACUGGGUAAGACGAGUGCCAGCCGCCGCGGUAAUACUCGCGGUCCAAGUCGCAGCCAUUUUUAUUGGGUCUAAAACAUCCGUAGCUUGCUUGGUUAGUUUUUUGUGAAAUUUUAUGUCUUAAGCAUAGAGCGUGCAAGAAGUACUGCCAAGCUAGAGACUGGAAGACGUAAGAAGUACGUUCGAAGUAGCGGUAAUAUGUGUUAUUCUCGGACGGACUAACAAUAGCGAAGGCAUCUUACGAGGACAGUUCUGACAGUAAGGGAUGAAGGCUAGGGGCGCAAAACGGAUUAGAUACCCCAGUAGUC